CUGUUUGGUUACCAACAUUCUUCUAGAUAUCUUCUUUUAUGUUCAACAAACUCAUACAGUUUUGUAACAUGAGGGUGAGUAAAUGAUGAUUUGAAUUUUUUGGGGGUGAGCUGUCCCCCCCAAAAAUAUGCUUUAUUAAUUUAAUAUUAGAUAUAUAGUAUUUUUUCUACAUACAUAAAUAAGUGUUUUUUUUUCAGUUGCCUUCUAAGAAUUGCUUAAUUUUAUGAAACUGUCAGUGCAAAAAAAAAACAAAAACAAAAAAAAAUUCUUUAAAUAGGUUCCAUUUAUCUUUAUUCUUUUUGAAUUUAGGGUGACAGUAAUUAUUGAAAGUUUUUGAGAGAUUCAAAAGCUAAACUUGUUAAAUACUUUCAAAAGUACAAAAAGGAGUCAUCUGGUAGCAUCAUUCUUUUUAUUUCUACUUCAACAAUCAUCUCUUAGCUUACUACACUAUUAGCUGUUUAAAUGGGAGACAGUGACUCUUAUUUGCACCGAAUUGAUUUCUAUGGCUUAAGCAACACAAUGUUGUGUAGUGUUUCUCUUUCCAGAUAAUGUGUUAGAAACUAGGCUUCAAACAUGUGGAAUGUUUUGCGGUUAUUAUUGCCUCUUGCACUUUGUUCUUUGUACUUGAGUGAUCCCAGAAAAUUACACCUUUAUCUUUUUUGUUUUCAAUUCUGUUAAGCUGUCUGACAGCAUCUGCUUGAGUGACAUUCCCUAAGCAUCUGCAUCUCAAAAGAAGUCUUACGAAUGGUACAUCUUUCUUUAGAUAGACAUGUUCUCUAUAUAGUUUUCCAUGUUGUUAGCUGUCUAAUAGACAAGCAUUAAUUGUUCUUCACAAAUGUCUUAGUCUGACAGAAAAUUGUGUUCUUUUUUGUCUUCAUGACAUCAUUGCUGUUGUGUGAGUAAAUGUUAGUUUGAUAUAUUGGGGAAUUGAUGAAUAACAGCUUAUUUUAGCUUUACAGUCCAAACACUUCCUUUGCUCAUUUAAAUAAUGCAUUAAUAUUUAUUGUACCUUUUCUUUGAGGUGGUAAUAACAUUGAUUGUACAUAGAUGUACAGGUCAUUUCCCCCGAUUUAUAUGAAAGCAUGUAUUAUCAAGAAAGGGAAAUAAAUUAUUUAAUGUCCA
ensembl:lncRNA